rnacentral:rRNA from 1 species
GAUGAACGCUGGCGGCGUGCCUAAUACAUGCAAGUCGAGCGAACAGACGAGGAGCUUGCUCCUCUGACGUUAGGGGCGGACGGGUGAGUAAAAAGUGGUUAACCUACCUAUAAGAAUGGGAUAAAUUCGGGAAACCGGAGCUAAUACCAGAAAAUAUAUUGAACCGGAUGGUUUAAUAGUUAAAGAAGGGUUUGCUGUCACUUAUAGAUGGCACCGCGCCGCAUUAGCUAGUUGGUAAGGUAACGGCUUACCAAGGCAACGAUGCGUAGCCGACCUGAGAGGGUGAUCGGCCACACUGGAACUGAGACACGGUCCAGACUCCUACGGGAGGCAGCAGUAGGGAAUCUUCCGCAAUGGGCGAAAGCCUGACGGAGCAACGCCGCGUGAGUGAUGAAGGUCUUCGGAUCGUAAAACUCUGUUAUUAGGGAAGAACAAAUGUGUAAGUAACUAUGCACGUCUUGACGGUACCUAAUCAGAAAGCCACGGCUAACUACGUG